rnacentral:misc_RNA from 1 species
UACUGCAGCGGGACUUGGUAA